rnacentral:rRNA from 1 species
UCAUUACCGAGUUUACACUCCCAACCCCUGUGAACAUACCUAUACGUUGCCUCGGCGGAUCAGCCCGCGCCCUGUAAAACGGGACGGCCCAGCCGAGGACCCUAAACUCUGUUUUUAGUGGAACUUCUGAGUAAAACAAACAAAUAAAUCAAAACUUUCAACAACGGAUCUCUUGGUUCUGGCAUCGAUGAAGAACGCAGCAAAAUGCGAUAAGUAAUGUGAAUUGCAGAAUUCAGUGAAUCAUCGAAUCUUUGAACGCACAUUGCGCCCGCCAGUAUUCUGGCGGGCAUGCCUGUUCGAGCGUCAUUUCAACCCUCAAGCUCAGCUUGGUGUUGGGACUCGCGGUAACCCGCGUUCCCCAAAUCGAUUGGCGGUCACGUCGAGCUUCCAUAGCGUAGUAAUCAUACACCUCGUUACUGGUAAUCGUCGCGGCCACGCCGUAAAACCCCAACUUCUGAAUGUUGACCUCGGAUCAGGUAGGAAUACCCGCUGAACUUAAAGCAUAUCAAUAAGCGGAGGA